GAUGAACGCUGGCGGCGUGCCUAAUACAUGCAAGUCGAGCGAACGGAUAAGGAGCUUGCUCCUUUGACGUUAGCGGCGGACGGGUGAGUAACACGUGGGUAACCUACCUAUAAGACUGGGAUAACUUCGGGAAACCGGAGCUAAUACCGGAUAACAUUUGGAACCGCAUGGUUCUAAAGUGAAAGAUGGUUUUGCUAUCACUUAUAGAUGGACCCGCGCCGUAUUAGCUAGUUGGUAAGGUAACGGCUUACCAAGGCGACGAUACGUAGCCGACCUGAGAGGGUGAUCGGCCACACUGGAACUGAGACACGGUCCAGACUCCUACGGGAGGCAGCAGUAGGGAAUCUUCCGCAAUGGGCGAAAGCCUGACGGAGCAACGCCGCGUGAGUGGUGAAGGGUUUCGGCUCGUAAAACUCUGUUAUUAGGGAAGAACAAACGUGUAAGUAACUGUGCACGUCUUGACGGUACCUAAUCAGAAAGCCACGGCUAACUACGUG
rnacentral:rRNA from 1 species